rnacentral:tRNA from 1 species
CGGAUAGCUCAGAUGGUAGAGCAGCGGACUGAAAAUCCGCGUGUCGAGGGUUCAAGUCCCCCUCCGA